GUUUGAUCAUGGCUCAGAUUGAACGCUGGCGGAAUGCCUUACACAUGCAAGCCGAACGGCAGAACGGGCGCCCGCACCUNNNNNNNAGAGGCGAACGGGAGAGUAAUACAUCGGAACGUACCUGAUCGAGGGGGAUAACGCAACGAAAGCCGUGUUAAUACCGCAUACUCCCUGAGGGGGAAAGAGGGGGAUCGAAAGACCUCUCGCGAUUAGAGAGGCCGAUGCCUGAUUAGCUUGUUGGAGGGGUAAAAGCCCACCAAGGCGACUAUCAGGACCUGGACUGAGAGGACGAUCAGCCGCACUGGGACUGAGACACGGCCCAUACUCCUACGGGAGGCGGCAAAGGGGAAUUUUGGACAAUGGGGGAAACCCUGAUCCUCCAAUGCCGCGAGAGUGAAGAAGGCCUUCGGGUUGUAAAGUUCUUUUGUCAAGGAAGAAACACCGGCUCUAACACAGUCCGGGAAUGACCGUACCUGAAAAAUAAGCACCGGUUAACUACGUGCCAGCAGCCGCGGUAAUACGUAGGGUGCGAGCGCUAAUCGGAAUUACUGGGCGUAAAGCGUGCGCAGGCUGUUAUACAAAACAGGAGUGAAAUCCCCCGGCUUAACCUGGGAAUGGCGCCUGUGACUGUAUAGCUACAGUGUGUCAGAAGGGGGUAGAAUUCCACGUGUAGCAAUGAAAUGCGUUGAUAUGUGGAGGAAUACCAAUGGCGAAUCCGCCCCCUGGGAUAACACUGACGCUCAUGCACGAUGCGUGGGGAGCAAACAAGAUACAUACCUGGCAGUCCCGCCCUAAACGAUGCUGACUAGUUGUCUGGAUUUACAUCCUGAGUACCUACUCACGAGUGAAGUCACCCGGCUAGGGAGUACGGUCGCAGAUUAAAACUCAAA
rnacentral:rRNA from 1 species